CCUAGAAACUGAAGACAUCCUGAAAUAUUGUAAAUAAGCAGAAAAUAUGAGGAACUGUAAGACUGACUUAUCACCUGAGAAAAACAGUCUGGGAAAACACAGUGGAAAACAGUCUGGGAAAAUAAAAUUGCUCUGAAAGAACAGAAAACAUCAUAAUGUAUUGGCUGUUACAGGUGAAACCAGACAUUAACAGCAUCUAUUGACUGCCUGAAGUAGGAUGUCCUACGCCCUCUUAUGUCUGCAUGUUAUAAAAAUGUGUUUAUUUGUUUACCCAAAACUGAGCUCCUGUGUCACUCAGAGCUUUCUGGUUUAAUCCCACACAAACUUUCUACAGGAUCUUGGACUGUCACCACAGAUGUCUUGCUGACCCCUGGCUGACCCCAGGAAAAAUGAAGAGCCAUGAGACACCCUGACACUUACAGUGGAAGUCCUCCACUGCAGCACUGAGGACAGAAUCUUCCCUGAUGCAUAAGGGUGCAAACGCCAGGUUCAUCAGCUCCUGCUGGAAACUGCCAGCUUUUGGCUUAGCAGGUGCAGCCCAUUUUUCUGGUGGUGUUGCACUUGUAGAUGAAGAGGACCCCACUCGACCAUCUUGGCUGGUGUUACUACACUUUUGUUUGCCAAUGUAUUCAUUAUUUUCACCUUUGCCAAUGUGUUCAUAA
rnacentral:lncRNA from 1 species